GACGAACGCUGGCGGCGUGCUUAACACAUGCAAGUCGUACGGUAAGGCCCUUUCGGGGGUACACGAGUGGCGAACGGGUGAGUAACACGUGAGUAACCUGCCCACAACUUUGGGAUAACGCUAGGAAACUGGUGCUAAUACUGGAUAUGUGCUCCUGCUGCAUGGUGGGGGUUGGAAAGCUCCGGCGGUUGUGGAUGGACUCGCGGCCUAUCAGCUUGUUGGUGGGGUAGUGGCCUACCAAGGCGGCGACGGGUAGCCGGCCUGAGAGGGUGACCGGCCACAUUGGGACUGAGAUACGGCCCAGACUCCUACGGGAGGCAGCAGUGGGGAAUAUUGCACAAUGGGCGCAAGCCUGAUGCAGCAACGCCGCGUGCGGGAUGACGGCCUUCGGGUUGUAAACCGCUUUCAGCAGAGACGAAGCUUUUUGUGACGGUACCUGCAGAAGAAGCACCGGCUAACUACGU
rnacentral:rRNA from 1 species